GCAGCCAUCCAAACAUUAGGUCCAGGACUUAGACUCUCUUGCUAUGAGGUUGGUACAAGUUUCUUUCAGAUCUGGAGUUGAUCUGAGGUCGUUUGAGGCACGGGUGAGAUCUCCAUCAACAGAUCUAUAGGAAAGACUGCAGCAGGACAGAUCUGCAAGGUCUGGUUCUAUCUACCUUCUUCCCUAUCUAGAAUAUCCUGAUUCAAGAUCUAUAAAUUAAAAGACCUCAGUCCAGGCCUGAUCUAGUUGGGUACCAGAUUUUGAAUUUUUUAGAGGUGAUCUUAGAGGCAUUCUUCAUCUGGA
rnacentral:lncRNA from 1 species